rnacentral:rRNA from 1 species
GAUCAUGGCUCAGGACGAACGCUGGCGGCGUGCUUAACACAUGCAAGUCGAGCGGUAAGGCCUUUCGGGGUACACGAGCGGCGAACGGGUGAGUAACACGUGGGUGAUCUGCCCUGCACUCUGGGAUAAGCCUGGGAAACUGGGUCUAAUACCGGAUAUGACCUGCUCUCGCAUGGGGGUGGGUGGAAAGAUUUAUCGGUGCAGGAUGGGCCCGCGGCCUAUCAGCUUGUUGGUGGGGUAAUGGCCUACCAAGGCGACGACGGGUAGCCGACCUGAGAGGGUGACCGGCCACACUGGGACUGAGACACGGCCCAGACUCCUACGGGAGGCAGCAGUGGGGAAUAUUGCACAAUGGGCGAAAGCCUGAUGCAGCGACGCCGCGUGAGGGAUGAAGGCCUUCGGGUUGUAAACCUCUUUCAGCAGGGACGAAGCGCAAGUGACGGUACCUGCAGAAGAAGCACCGGCUAACUACGUGCCAGCAGCCGCGGUAAUACGUAGGGUGCGAGCGUUGUCCGGAAUUACUGGGCGUAAAGAGUUCGUAGGCGGUUUGUCGCGUCGUUUGUGAAAACCCGGGGCUCAACUUCGGGCUUGCAGGCGAUACGGGCAGACUUGAGUGUUUCAGGGGAGACUGGAAUUCCUGGUGUAGCGGUGAAAUGCGCAGAUAUCAGGAGGAACACCGGUGGCGAAGGCGGGUCUCUGGGAAACAACUGACGCUGAGGAACGAAAGCGUGGGUAGCAAACAGGAUUAGAUACCCUGGUAGUCCACGCCGUAAACGGUGGGCGCUAGGUGUGGGUUCCUUCCACGGAAUCUGUGCCGUAGCUAACGCAUUAAGCGC